UUCCGGUUGAUCCUGCCAGAGGCGACCGCUAUUGGAGUUCGAUUAAGCCAUGCGAGUCGAGAGCUUUAGGAGCUCGGCAUACUGCUCAGUAACACGUGGAUAACCUGCCCUGUGCUCUGGGAUAACCUCGGGAAACUGAGAAUAAUACCGGAUAGUCCACCACGCCUGGAACGGUGGGUGGAUCAAAGGUCACGGCACAGGAUGGGUCUGCGGCGUAUCAGGUUGUAGGGGGUGUAAAGGACCCCCUAGCCAUUGACGCGUACGGGUUGUGGGAGCAAUCGCCCGGAGAUGGAUUCUGAGACACGAAUCCAGACCCUACGGGGUGCAGCAGGCGCGAAAACUUCACACUGCAGGAAACUGUGAUGAGGGAACUCCAAGUGCAUGCACAAUGUGUAUGCUUUUCCUUACUUUUAAUCGGUUUGGGAAUAAGGGCUGGGAAAGACCGGUGCCAGCCGCCGCGGUAAUACCGGCAGCUCAAGUGGUCGUCGCUUUUAUUGGGCCUAAAACGUCCGUAGCCUGUUUGGUAAAUCUGUGGGUAAAUCAACCAGCUUAACUGGUUGAAUUCUGCAGAGACUGCCAGACUAGGGACCGGGAGAGGUGUGGGGUACUCUCGGGGUAGGGGUAAAAUCCUGUCAUCCUGGGAGGACCACCAGUUGCGAAGGCGCCACACUGGAACGGAUCCGACGGUCAGGGACGAAGCCUAGGGGCACGAACCGGAUUAGAUACCCGGGUAGUCCUAGGAGUAAACGCUGUGAACUUGGUGUCG
rnacentral:rRNA from 1 species